rnacentral:rRNA from 1 species
UACAGAGGUCUCAAGCGUUGUUCGGAUUCACUGGGCGUAAAGGGUGUGCAGGCGGCCAAGUGUGUCAGGCGUGAAAGCCCGGGGCUUAACCCCGGAAUUGCACCUAAAACUACUUGGCUAGAGCAUUGGAGAGGGUAGCGGAAUUCACGGUGUAGCAGUGAAAUGCGUAGAUAUCGUGAGGAACACCAGAGGCGAAGGCGGCUACCUGGACAAUUGCUGACGCUCAGGCACGAAAGCGUGGGGAGCAAAAGGG